GACCCUGGAACUGUUUAUCUUUGUAGAGUGUGCAUUAUCUAUGCUGUUCAGCUUUUUGCCUUAAAUCUUUUGUGUCUCCUUUUUCUGAACUUGACUCAUUUCCUUGAGUCUUGCUGUUUAGCAGCCUUUUAAUCCAGAUACUAAAUUCAUAGCAGGCGACCUUCCCCUGUAACCAUUUUCUCUUCCAGUCUGAGGUUUCCUGAGUUCACCUUCUUUUUUAUUUUUUUCUUAACAAGUCUCUUUUUUGGCAAGUCCUGAACCAACUUUUGGAGGUCAGUGGCCUAGGUCAUUUGUAAUUGCUCAGCAAAUACAUCUUCAGGCCAAAGUGUGGUUUCAGAUCAGAGAAAAGAAACCAGGUAGCAUGGUAACAGUAAUCUCUGAAGGUGAGCUGAAUCAUCUAUUACUGCAUGAGCUUUCCAUAGUUUUAUACUGAGUUUUCUCAUUGCAGUUCUUUCUUUCAGUCUAAAAGUUUUUACAAGGAUCUGAUUAAAUAUUACUGGUUUCAUGUAUUCUGACUUGGGAGUUUACGGAGUCCCCCUUCCCCUCUUUUCUGCAAAAGGAAGGGAGAGGUAAGAAGGUAUAUGUGACCUAGCAAGACAGAAGUUUCUUUUGAAGAUAUUUACAAGUAUGUUGUGGUAUGUGAAAAUCUCCUGAAAAUUCCUAAAAAUUUGCUUAUCAAUGUGUCUUGAAAAACUUGGGAACCCUAAAGUAAAAACAUAAAAGCUUUUAGUCUGUAGGGUUGCUGGAUUUGCCCUGUGAGUUUGACAGUCCAGACCACAACCAAAAGAGCUGUGUGGGUAGUGAUACAUCACAUAGGAAAGACAGUAAAAUAAGGAGUUGUAGCUCUCUGCCAGGAAUUAGCAAUAAAAUGGAAUUUGCAUCCAAGUUUCUGUGAGCAGAAUGAUACCAUUCUUUUCCGAUAGAUGAGUCUGCAGAGGCAUUGUGGUUGUUCACAUCCACACAUAUUCAUGUAUGGCAGCUUUAUCAUUGAAAUAUCAGCAGCUCAGAAACAAAUAUCAAAGUAAAUACAUUUUCCUUCAUUUUAUUUCAGUGAAUUGUUAACAGCUGUUGCUUCAACUGCAAUGUGGAAAUAUUCUGUAAAAGGAGAAGAAACUUCAUGGUCUGAAGUUCAGUUCCUACAUAUUCCUUCAGCAGGGGCUUAUGACAGUGGCUUGUCCCUAUGUGGAGGUGCUUGAAUUUCCCCCUGUUAAGCUCACAGGGCUACAGGGAGCCUGGGCUUGUGUGGGUCUGUACCUUAUAGUAGUUUUAUACUGCUGCCAAGUGACUGUGAAGCUCAUCUGUGCAUGCAGACCUUUGGAAAAACAUGCUGUGGCAGUCAAUUACACUUUUGGGGCUCCCACUGUCUGUGUUACAUGGUGUUGGGGAGGAAUGCUGUGUUUCCCAGGGAGAACUCGGGGUAAUGUGCAGGAAGCUGUUUGCCUCCUGUGCCAACCCCAUGAUGUCUUCAGUGCAGUGGAAUCCAUUGCACAAGGGUUUCUCUGGGUACAGGGCCAUCACUCCCAGCCAGUAGGUGCAUUUACCCACCUUUCUCAUGUCCCAUGGUAGUGGCUUUGUAAUUGAGACACUUGAUUUUCCAGAACAAUUGUCCAAAUGAUGUGCCAUUGUGAGAUUUCACACACACACAGAGUCAUGAGUUGUGAAAGCAUGUAUUUCCCUGAGAAACACGGCUUAGCAACCCUAUGUCUCCCUCUGUUAUUAAUACAUGAAGCUGUGGCUGACUGUUCUUUUAUUUCAAAUACAGGUGGAAUUAGUUGGAAGGCUAUCAAGCUGUUAAGAAGGCAUUCAGUAAGACUGUAUGAGACUAAGCAUUUAGCACUGUUUUCUUGGAAAGCUAGAUAUUGUAUAAUUAGUCCCUUUUAUUUGUUUUGCUUCGGAUGCCUUCAAGUGUGUUUGGGUAAUUUUUCCUCAUUACCAUACAGGAUAAAAUUUACAUUCCUGUAAAGCAAUAAAGACAAAACCAAAAAACCUGUUCUUGCUUCCAGAAGCUGAAGAUUUUAAAAAAACACCAAACGCUUAAGGCUGUAGUAAAACACUGAGUUGGCAAUGCUGCUGCUGCUCUCUUACACCAGGAUAUAUAAUACAUGCUCCCGCAGAAAGCAACAGUGUUUAGCUUCCAGGGAGCACACCCAGACUUCUCGAGGAAACCCAGAAACCACAGAAAAGAGGCAGAUUGAAAGGAUCCCCCAAUGAGUAAAUACAUCCAGGGCUUUUAGUUCCCCAUCUGCUGUUUUGACAAAUGCGUGUGAGCUGUUUUGCCAGCAGAUAUCACUAUGUGUGUCCAAAUUACAAGUGAGAAUGAGAGAGAAAAAGCAUUUCUCUACUUGUAAGCGACAGGCAGAUUUAGGAAUGUCUGCUGGAGUUUAUGUGCAUUAUUAGGCACCUUUUUAAUUCUUUUGUCAACCUCUAUUAUGAGGUCAUUUCACUUCAAUGCAAAUUAAAUCAUAAUUUUUCACCUUCCAAUGUUCUUUUUUUUCAUUAUAUAUUUUUUAAUGUGUUGUCCUCUAGAACAACAUAAAAGCCUUUAACUGUCUGAAUUGAACUACUGUGGCCUUUCUUGUCAAAAAGAGCUUUUGGAUUUAUUUCUGUGUACAUUGACACUAUAAAUUGUUACUUUCUUUUCUCUCUUCUGCAGGCAAAGAGCUAUAAAAAUCAAGUUUCACUGUCAUUUCAACCUUUGUUCUAAAACAUUAUGAUGUGUAGAAAAUUGAUUAUACUGGAAUUUAGUAUAUACAACAAAAGGAAAUUUUGUUGAAAACCAGAGGGCCAUUUCUAUUCAUUUGAUAAAUGUAUUAGUUUCUUUGGUUUCCUGAAUUACCAGGUAAAGGGCAACAUUUUCCAGAUCUAACUAAUUUCACUGAAACAUACGAAAGACAAAUACCAGAAGUCAAAUCUAACAUAUUCUUCCCAUGGGCCUUAAAAAACCCCACCCCAAACUCUUUAUUUUGAAAAGCUAAAGUAAGAGUUCAAAAUUAAAUGGAUGAUUCAUGUGAGAUAGGUGAACUGAACAACACAUCGAGCUGUUGUACCAGCUGAUAUGGCCUGCUUUUUCUCAGCACUGCUAAAGAAAAGAAAUGAGGUGAAAAAAUGGAUUGCUGUGCUACUCCAGCUACUCAAGCGUUGCUGUAUCUCAGGGUUGCAACAAAGCAGACCCUCUACAAGGAGCAACCUGUGCCAGGGCUUUCAGCUUCAUGGGUACAGGGCCAAAUUUUGCUCCCUUUGUCUCCCCUGGGCAUGGGGGAGCUGAGUGCUGGACAGUCCAUUGGCAGAGGAUGCUGCUCAGCAGUGGUGGCCCUGUGCAGCCUUUGCUCACAGUAGCAGCGCUACUGCUUCCACAGCUGCAGCUCUUUUCCCGUAUGUUGUUCCUCCAUGAAGCUAUUCCCUCCUGCUGGCACCUUCCUGGAUGCGGAGUGCAGCAGAAGGCUCCCAUCCCAUCCCAUCCCAAGGAAAUUCUCAGAUGUGUAUACAACUGCUUUAGAGACUCCUGAUCGCACAGUCACAAGCAAAGGGACCUACUGGCUUUUGCCAUGAAUCUUGCAAGUGUGAGGGAUACAGCAGCUUCUGCAGUCAAGCAGCAGGAGAAAAAAGCAGUUCAAACUAAUAAAAGUAUAGUUAUCCAUCCACUGGCAAAAUCACAGUAUGUUAUAUUUCUUACUGAAGGUACUUAAAGAAGAAAUCAUGUUCUUGUCUGAUACAGCAGAAUGUAAGCAUGGUAAAAAUUACAGUAUAUGCUGCUACUUAUUUUUCUUUUUGAAUAACAAUAGCUUUAAGCAAUGGGAAAUGUUCCCAACUGGACAAUUGAGAAUCCUUAAUUUAAUCUACUAUCUGAGAGACACUAUAAUCCCCAGUAAAUAUUAACCUCUGCCUCUUGAUGCAAAAAAGAUCCCUUUUGCCAGUGUCAGUCACAUUUAUUUCAGUCUAGACAAAAUAGCUCCUAGAUGUUGUAGGGAGAAACAAUGAUGUCUGAGUGCCUCCUGGAGAACAUUCAAACCUUGAGCGUAUUUUGGUUUGUGCUGGAGUUGAACUUGAUGUGAUAGGUCUGGAAAAAUACAGAGCUGACAGUCUGUAUGCACAACCAGGUUUUUAGUCCACACGUAUAAUGAGACCUAAGCACCCAGCCACUUUUUUUUGUGUCACUGUCAAUUUAAACUGCAUUUUUAAAUGAACAGUGGGGUUAUUUGGGUCUAUUAAUUACAGUAAUUGUUUCCUGCGUGGAAACCACAUGUAUGAGAUGUGAAAGGCGUGUGUGUGUGAGAAGGAAUGCUGGCGUGUGUGACUGGAGCAAUUCUCCUUUGAAGAUUUUUUUUUAAUCCCCAGAGAGGGAGCUUGUAAUGAGCAACAACAUUUGCGCUGAGGACUUCAAUGCUCCUUGUUGCCUCAUCCGCUGCCUUGCCUUUCACAUGGAGAUUAAAGUCAGUGGUUGAAGCUGCUCCUCCUUUUCCCAUGCGACUGAUAUAAAUUCUACUUCAAAUGGAAAGGAGAAAGGGCAGGUUUGGUUGUCAGCAAAAAAUGAAGGAGAGGUCUGACAGCAGCAGGAGCAGGGGCUCAGUUCUCAUUAAUCUGGUGGGCACCAGAAGAGUAAACAUAAAACCUUGGGAAGAUGCCGACUGUGCCCUUUAAACAAAGAGCCUGUGACUGGCAUAAGAGCAGCGCUGAUGGGUAAACAGGAAAAUGCUUUUCCUAAGGUUCACCUGUUGAUGGAUAUGAUGGGAAACUCAUGCAGAUUUUUAUAGUUUGUAUAAAAUUUGAAUGCUUUGGUUUGUGCAUUAAGCAAGUACAAUAAUGAUCCCGUAGUUCAAUUUCUAACCUGUUUUCUAUUACAAGUCUCUCCAUUUUAACUUUGACAAGGAAGCUGUCUUUCUGACUGGUUAUGGUAUUUUUCCUAGUGCAGAACAAUGCCAAAGAAAAAAUGUUUGGGGAAAAUUUGGGAUUAAUCUCAUUAGUCUCUUGAAAUGCAGAAUGUUAUGUCCCCUUUUACAUCUCCUUUUGCUGCAGUGGCACAUCUCAAAUGUGACUCAGCCCAUGUGGGUCCCUAUAAUUUUCCCUGUGGAACAGCUUAGUUUGGAGAGAAGAGGGAAGGGAUGAAAAAAAUUCAGCAACACAUCCUGACAGAGGGCAGCCAGACAGUGUGCCUUUAUGAGGGAAGAGCUAUACUGGGUAGAGAGACAGUAGAUCUGAGACAUCUAAGAGCAGAUAGCUUGUAUGCUGAAGUCAUGGCACAGGCAUAAAUCAGUCCUCAAAGGCAGUAGAGUUCAUAGUUUAUAUUGUCAUGCUCUCAGCUUGAUUUUAGCAGCAUUUAUAUAUUCUCAAAUAUUUUUUCUUCUGUGCCGAGGUUCUGUUCCCUGCUCAUCCACCCAGAAGAUGAGUGGUGGAGACUCUGUUCUGAUAUACCCAGAAGUAUAAAAGCAAGAGGAGUAGAGUCAGCACAAGGAGGUGAAUUUUGGAGUUCUGUCCAGUGUUCAUGCAGUGAGGUCAAUGGAAAUCUUUCAUCUUCUCGGCUCCGUUGUUUGUACAUCACUUGAUGGGACAGGUUUCUCAUGGCAGAUUUCUUGUGGCAAAGCCAGAACAGAAGGAAAUUUGUUCUUAGCUGGGCUUAUUCACCAGAACAAGGAGACUCAGCUGGCUUUUGUGAUGUGAGCAUUCCAGCGGAGAAGUAACUCUGGCAGACGCUCUCAUGCUAGUGCAUUGAUGCACAAAGGGAUAAAGUUCUUGUGAGCUCACUAAGUUCUGAGUACCAGAAAAUGAAAGUCAGAAAAA